rnacentral:rRNA from 1 species
CCCUUAGAUGUCCUGGGCUGCACGCGCGCUACACUGAUGUGUCCAGUAAGCACCUAACCUCUUCCGAAAGGAACGGGUAACCUUUGCAAAGCACAUCGUGAUGGGGAUAGAUUAUUGCAAUUAUUAGUCUUGAACGUGGAAUUCCUAGUAAGCACAAGUCAUCAGCUUGUGUUGAUUACGUCCCUGCCCUUUGUACACACCGCCCGUCGCUCCUACCGAUUGAAUGUUCCGGUGAGCUCUUCGGACUGCGCGGUCUGCAGUUUCUGCGUUCCGUGCGGAAAGUUGCGCAAACCUUAACAUUUAGAGGAAGGAGAAGUCGUAACA